AGUAUUUACAAAAUUUACAACAAAAAAUUGUCAGGGUACCAACGGGAAAGGUUUCUCGAAAACCCCUCGACUUUUCGAAGAUGGUAUCAAGAAUGUAUUUCCACUAAACUGAAGAAAUAUUGGAUAGGAAAUGCAGAAACCUGAAAAAAAACUACACAGGCAUCAAAGACAAAAUAGGGAAAACUGGAAGGGGUAGAAUUUACUAGGAAUGUUAUCACCAGGUUGAUGAAAUACAUAGGGAGGACAAAACAGUUAACCUCCCUAACCUAAUAACCUUGACAGCAGUUCCUGUUAUAAGGAAAGCCCCCCCUGCCAAAAAUAAGAAAGGCCCACCCGCUAUCCCAGUGAUUUAGCACAUGGAAACCACCCCAAUCAGAGCAACACCUGUGUCCCCGCCACAGAAGUACCAAGACUAGGGGUCAAAGAGUGGAAUAUGUUAUUUCUAUGAAGAAGGCUGACAAAUAUUGAGGAAGCUCGAGUACAAGAAAUUAACCUCUUACUAAAUGAUAUUGAAAAAAGCAAGAAUAUGCAAGAGGAAAG